rnacentral:rRNA from 1 species
UACGUAGGGGGCAAGCGUUUGUUCGGAUUCAUUGGGCGUAAAGGGUGCGUAGGCGGCGCGGUAAGUCGGGUGUGAAAUCUCGGGGCUUAACUCCGAAACUGCAUUCGAUACUGCCGUGCUUGAGGACUGGAGAGGAGACUGGAAUUUACGGUGUAGCGGUGAAAUGCGUAGAUAUCGUAAGGAAGACCAGUGGCGAAGGCGGGUCUCUGGACAGUUCCUGACGCUGAGGCACGAAGGUCAGGGGAGCAAACGGGG